UGGGACACUUCGCUCGUGAUUGCACUGAGCCGAAGAAGACUCAGGAGCAACAGACCACGUAGCGAGGGAUCGGAUGGGAUUCGUCGAGUACCGUCGCGUGCCUACUGGGAGCAGAAGAGUAUACAUGGGGAAUGAUUCAAGUGUCGAUGUGUUAGGCGUUGGCACAUACAAGUUGAUCAUGCAAGGUGGUCGAACUUUAUAUCUACAUGAUGUACUUUAUGCUCCAGAAAUUCGGCGGAACUUGUUUUCUAUUCUUGCUAUGCUACAGUUAGGCUUUUCUUUUCGUUUUGAGAGUGAUGUAGUUGAGAUUCAUCUUGGAACUAUUUAUUAUGGUAGAGGUUUUAUGUCGAAUGAUUUUAUGGUUUUGGAUAUUGAUUAUAAUAUUAAUUAUAGUGAUUCUUUUU